rnacentral:rRNA from 1 species
CCAGACUCCUACGGGAGGCAGCAGUGAGGAAUAUUGGUCAAUGGGCGGGAGCCUGAACCAGCCAAGUCGCGUGAGGGAAGACGGUCCUAUGGAUUGUAAACCUCUUUAGGCGGGGAGCAAUGCCGGGCACGCGUGUCCGGAGGGAGAGUACCCGCAGAAUAAGCAUCGGCUAACUCCGUGCCAGCAGCCGCGGUAAUACGGAGGAUGCGAGCGUUAUCCGGAUUUAUUGGGUUUAAAGGGUGCGUAGGCGGAUUGAUAAGUUAGAGGUGAAAUGUCCGAGCUUAACUCGGGAACUGCCUCUAAUACUGUUGAUCUAGAGAGUAGAUGCGGUAGGCGGGAUGUAUGGUGUAGCGGUGAAAUGCUUAGAGAUCAUACAGAACACCGAUUGCGAAGGCAGCUUACCAAUCUAUAUCUGACGUUGAGGCACGAAAGCGUGGGGAGCAAACAGGAUUAGAUACCCUAGUA